CCAUCGUUUUUGUUAAGAACCCUUUUGUCAGAUGGAGAUCUUAUUUGCUGCCACUUUCGGCGUAAUUGGCGUUUUUCUGCUAACAUGAUUUCUUUGCUAUACUAUGACUUGUGUGACGUUUAUUUUAAUUGGUGUACUACUUCAGGCUGCAUAUUGAAUUGUGUUUGUCCAAUUUAAGACUUCUUUAUCUAACUCGGAAUGAUAUAAAAGCUUAUUUUGACGUCAUUAUCAACAUCAGACAGCAUUUGCUUACAGUAUUUCCAGUCAGUGUUUUUAUUUUUUAAUGUAAAAGGCGGUUCCUUAAUAACAACUCUUUCGUGUAGUGUUAAAUAUAUCAGUGAAUGGUCAAAGGUCAUAUCCAAAUGCUUUCUAUGCACAUAUAAUUUGAAGAGAUAUGUUUGGUAAUGAAUAAAUCAAUAAGAUCUGGUAUUCCAAGUGGAUCUGUUGGCCAUUCCAACAACUUAACACUUGUUGCUCGUUGUUCGAGCUUACAACUUCUUGUUUAUGUCUCAAUUGCUCGACAAGACUCUAACUAGAGCUGUGUGUGUUGCACAAUCUGGCAGCCCUUAUAUAGUACAUCUUUAAUAAAACUUCGCCUUUAGAGCAUUCUGGCAACUACGAAUUCGCUGUCUCGUUGCUUCUGGCAAUUUAUCGUCGGUUCGAUUUUGUUCUAUCAUCAAUGUUCGUCACAGUAUAUAUAAAUGUUAGCAAAAAAUUUAUUGAAAGAAGAAAAAUUAAGUUUGUAAUGUAUAUGGCAUAUGUAUAUUUAAAAGCAAAUCUAAAAGAAUUACUAAAAAUUUGCAAAAAUAGAAAGUGAUAAACAUGUAAAUUUAAAAAAAAAAUAUUUAAAAAACAAUAGGGAUUUCAAUUUUUUAUUUAGAAGGUAAGCAAUACAGUGGUGACUAAUUAAUAACCAAACAAAUAACCCAUAGCUAGUGACGAGGUAACCGGUGCACCAGUUCUCUGUAACCAAUGAAUAACCAAAAAAAUAACCUAAGAACCAGCUUUCUGUAACUUAUAGGUAACCAUAGCAAUAACCAAACAAACUAUUUUAAGUAACAGGUGGCUAACCAAACAAAUAGCCAAUAAUACGUAUUCUUCGUGAAUUAUCAAAACUUGAUAAAUAAAAAAUAUAUCAAACAACACAGAU